ACCUGCCUAUUUCUGGCCCCGACCACUCAUCUCUUGUUGCUGUAAACCACCACCCUGAUUGAAAAUGAAAGGCAGCUGGUCACAUUGCCUCUGUCUCUUG